CAGUAGCCGCGGUAAUGCGAAGGGGGCUAGCGUUGCUCGGAAUGACCGGGCGUAAAGGGCGCGUAGGCGGAUGGCACAGUCAGAUGUGAAAUUCCCGGGCUUAACCUGGGGGCUGCAUUUGAUACGUGUUGUCUAGAGUGAGGAAGAGGGUUGUGGAAUUCCCAGUGUAGAGGUGAAAUUCGUAGAUAUUGGGAAGAACACCGGUGGCGAAGGCGGCAACCUGGUCCUUGACUGACGCUGAGGAGCGAAAGCGUGGGGAGCGAACAGGAUUAGAUACCCCAGUAGUCCCUGUCUCUUAUAC
rnacentral:rRNA from 1 species